rnacentral:lncRNA from 10 species
AAAUGAAGGAAAAACAUCAUUGCACCAGCCACGUGGAUGCUCCUGACAGCAGCGUCUCCUUGGGGAGGGUUGGAGGGGCGGUGGCUGUUUUUCCUUGUGGGAGAAGAGCUGGGAUGAGAACUCCAGGGAAACCCGCAAGAGUGGAUCCAGGCUUUGUGAGGCCUGAAGCUUAGACACUUCAGGGGAUUCCCGUUGAGGGAAAGAAUAUGUAAAUACAAUAUAAGCUUAGGUACGAAAGUGAAUGUUUAUUUAAAAUGAGAAAAGAAAUCACUACAAAGUAUAGGCACCCUGUAUAUUCAGGUCCCUUUCUUCUGCCACCCGUUUAGGUAACUUACUAGAGAUGUUUGCAGACUCCAUCCUGAUUUCUCUCUCCACCCAGAACACUCUAUGGCUCCCAGCAUCUCCCAACUCUUGCAGGGGCCCAAGCAAGCGAAGGGUCCUGACAUUGGGGUAUCAUUAGCUUUACCCAGAAUCUGUCUCUGGAAAUGAGGGUGCCCAGAAAAGCCAGCUCUCUGCCCUGACUGGGAUUUGCUUUCAGUGGGAUUCAGGGUCUGUGAGUAGGAGGCUGGAGGAUUUAGAAAAAUCCAGAAUGCCUGUGCUCUGGGAUCUGGGGGCAGUUGCCGGAAGGCAGCCUGGCCUGGGUUUGUAAUUUCGGUUCAUGGAAAUCUGGCCAAUUGAAUCAUACUCUGCAAAGAGCCCAAGCAUAGGGAGGCAGAGGCUGGUGAGCACAGGGAGGCAGGCUGGUGAGCACAGGGCCUGGAGACAGCUGUGGGCAGACAGCCAUUCAGCUGGGGUCAGGCAAGAGGCAUCUUGGCUAAGGUAUCGAGGUUUUCUUGCCAGGGCUGGUCCUUCAUGUGGGAGAGAAAGCCUCAGGCUGCCCUAGCCCAGAGCCCCUGCCCAAGUUUACCUCCCUCUCCUUGUUCUGAUUCUGGGUUAAACAGGCAAAUGUGGGCAGGGGCGGGCAUUGGUGUCUUUCUCUAGGAGAC